rnacentral:piRNA from 2 species
UAAUCCAUUUCUGAAUGUCCAAAUGCCCAA